rnacentral:lncRNA from 1 species
CCUGUACUAAGUCAGGAAUAUAAGAUGUUAUACAUUCCUUUGAUGGGUUUGAGCUUAAAUUUUGCCAUUUGAUUAGUAACCUUCCGUUUCAAAUUUUCAUCGGCGUCGGUGUUUUUUUAUUUAUUUAUUUUACUUUUAAUGCAUUUAUAUCUUCCAAUUUGUUUUAUUGACUCCAUUUUCCGACUUUAGGAUUUGAAUUUUCUCUGCAGUUUAGUAUUUCUUUAUUCUUCUUUGUAUUUUUCUACUCAUUUUGAUGUUUAUUCUGUAUUAUGUGUUAUUAAAAUCCAGUAUGUUUUGUCGUUCGGCUUUAUGCUGUUUUCGAAAAUUUCGAAUAUUAUUUGUGAUUUCGUCUAUUUUUGAAGAUUAAACAAAUCGAAGGUGCUGGUCGUCAAAGCUUGAUUUGAGAC